rnacentral:rRNA from 1 species
CCCGCAGCACAAGUGGUGGUCAUUAUUAUUGGGCCUAAAGCGUCCGUAGCUGGCCUGUUAGAUGCCUGGGUAAAUCGAUGCGCUCAACGUAUCGAACUCCGGGUAGACCGGCAGGCUCGAGACCGGGAGAGGUGUAGGCUACUCGCGGGGUAGGGGUAAAAUCCUGUAAUCCUGCGGGGAGGACCAGUGGCGAAGGCGCUACACUAGAACGGCUCUGACAGUGAGGGACGAAGCCCUGGGGCGCAAACCGGAUUAGAUACCCGGGUAGUCCAGGGUGUAAACGCUGCAGACUUGGUGUCGGUGAUCCUACGAGGGUUGCCGGUGCCGUAGAGAAGUUGUUUAGUCUGCCGCCUGGGGAGUACGGUCGCAAGACUG